CCUACGGGAGACAGCAGUGAGGAAUAUUGGUCAAUGGGCGCGAGCCUGAACCAGCCACGUCGCGUGAAGGAUGACUGACCUACUUGUUGUAAACUUCUUUUAUAAAGGAAUAAAUUGAGGCACGUGUGCCUUUUUCUAUGUCCUUUAUGCAUAAGGAUCGGCUAACUCCUGGCCAGCAGCCGCGGUACUACGGAUGAUCCGAGCGUAAUCCGGAUUUAUGUGGUUUAAGGGGAGCGUAGACGGGUUAGUAAGUCAGAUGUGAAAGUUUGCGGCUCAACCGUAAAAUUGAACUUGAUACUGUAAGUCUUGAGUGCAGGUGCGGUAGGCGGAAUUCGUGGUGUAGCGGUGAAAUGCUUAGAUAUCACGAAGAACACCGAUGGCGAAGGCAGCUUACUAAACUGUAACUGACGUUGAUGCUCGAAAGUGUGGGGAGCAAACAGGAUUAGAUACCCCUGUAGUC
rnacentral:rRNA from 1 species